rnacentral:rRNA from 1 species
GAUGAACGCUGGCGGCGUGCCUAAUACAUGCAAGUCGAGCGAACAGACGAGGAGCUUGCUCCUCUGACGUUAGCGGCGGACGGGUGAGUAACCCGUGGAUACCCUACCUAUAAGACUGGGAUAACUUCGGGAAACCGGAGCUAAUACCGGAUAAUAUAUUGAACCGCAUGGUUCAAUAGUGAAAGACGGUUUUGCUGUCACUUAUAGAUGGAUCCGCGCCGCAUUAGCUAGUUGGUAAGGUAACGGCUUACCAAGGCAACGAUGCGUAUCCGACCUUGGAGGGGGAUCGGCCACACUGGAACUGAGACACGGUCCAGACUCCGACGGGAGGCAGCAGUAGGGAAUCUUCCGCAAUGGGCGAAAGCCUGACGGAGCAACGCCACGUGAGUGAUGAAGGUCUUCGGAUCGUAAAACUCUGUUAUUAGGGAAGAACAAAUGUGUAAGUAACUAUGCACGUCUUGACGGUACCUAAUCAGAAAGCCACGGCUAACUACGUG